AGAGUUUGAUUAUGGCUCAGGAUGAACGCUGGCGGCGUGCCUAACACAUGCAAGUCGAGCGCGAUUAAGUGGAACGGAGACUUCGGUCAAAGAGAAACUUAUGAAAGCGGCGGACGGGUGAGUAACGCGUGGGUAACCUGCCCCAUACAAAGGGAUAGCCACUGGAAACGGUGAUUAAUACCUUAUAAGUCGGUAGUCCCGCAUGAGACAGCCGACAAAGAUUUAUCGGUAUGGGAUGGACCCGCGUCUGAUUAGCUAGUUGGUGAGGUAACGGCUCACCAAGGCGACGAUCAGUAGCCGACCUGAGAGGGUGAUCGGCCACACUGGAACUGAGACACGGUCCAGACUCCUACGGGAGGCAGCAGUGGGGAAUAUUGCACAAUGGGCGCAAGCCUGAUGCAGCAACGCCGCGUGAGUGAUGAAGGCUUUCGGGUCGUAAAACUCUGUCCUAUGGGAAGAAAAAAAUGACGGUACCAUAGGAGGAAGCCCCGGCUAACUACGUGCCAGCAGCCGCGGUAAUACGUAGGGGGCAAGCGUUAUCCGGAAUCACUGGGCGUAAAGGGUGCGUAGGUGGCUUAUCAAGCCAGGGGUGAAAGGCAUUGGCUCAACCAAUGUAAGCCUUUGGAACUGAUAGGCUUGAGUGCAGGAGAGGUAAGUGGAAUUCCUAGUGUAGGGGUGAAAUCCGUAGAUAUCAGAAGGAACACCAGUGGCGAAGGCGACUUACUGGACUGUAACUGACGCUGAGACGCGAAAGCGUGGGGAGCAAACAGGAUUAGAUACCCUGGUAGUCCACGCCCUAAACGAUGUACACUAGUUGUUGCCUUGCUAGACAAGGCAGUAAUGCACCUAACGGAUUAAGUGUACCGCCUGGGGAGUACGGUCGCAAGAUUAAAACUCAAAGGAAUAGACGGGGACCCGCACAAGCGGUGGAGCAUGUGGUUUAAUUCGACGAUACGCGAAGAACCUUACCUGGCCUUGACAUACUAAAAAGCUUUAAGAGAUUAGAGUGUGCUAGCUUGCUAGAAUUUAGAUACAGGUGCUGCACGGCUGUCGUCAGCUCGUGUCGUGAGAUGUUGGGUUAAGUCCCGCAACGAGCGCAACCCUCGUGUUUAGUUGCUAACAGUUCGGCUGAGAACUCUAAACAGGCUGCCUACGCAAGUAGGAGGAAGGUGAGGACGACGUCAAGUCAUCAUGGCCCUUACGGCCAGGGCUACACACGUGCUACAAUGGGGUAUACAAAGAGCAGCGAUACGGUGACGUGGAGCAAAUCUAGAAAAUGCCUCUCAGUUCGGAUUGUAGUCUGCAACUCGACUACAUGAAGUUGGAAUCGCUAGUAAUCGUAGAUCAGCAAUGCUACGGUGAAUACGUUCCCGGGUCUUGUACACACCCCCGUC
rnacentral:rRNA from 1 species